AAUCAGAACAUGACAUGUGACAAU
rnacentral:miRNA from 1 species